rnacentral:tRNA from 1 species
GAGGGUAUAGCUCAGUGGUAGAGUGCAUGCUUGGUAUGCAUGAGGUCCUGGGUUCAGUCCCCAGUCCCUCCA